rnacentral:rRNA from 1 species
AGAGUUUGAUCCUGGCUCAGAUUGAACGCUGGCGGCAUGCCUUACACAUGCAAGUCGAACGGCAGCACGGGAGCAAUCCUGGUGGCGAGUGGCGAACGGGUGAGUAACAUAUCGGAACGUGCCCAGUCGUGGGGGAUAACGCAGCGAAAGCUGUGCUAAUACCGCAUACGAUCUCUGGAUGAAAGCGGGGGACUCGCAAGAGCCUCGCGCGAUUGGAGCGGCCGAUAUCAGAUUAGCUAGUUGGUGGGGUAAAGGCUCACCAAGGCGACGAUCUGUAGCUGGUCUGAGAGGACGACCAGCCACACUGGAACUGAGACACGGUCCGGACUCCUACGGGAGGCAGCAGUGGGGAAUUUUGGACAAUGGGCGCAAGCCUGAUCCAGCAAUGCCGCGUGCAGGAUGAAGGCCUUCGGGUUGUAAACUGCUUUUGUACGGAACGAAACGGUUCUCUCUAAUAAAGAGGGCUAAUGACGGUACCGUAAGAAUAAGCACCGGCUAACUACGUGCCAGCAGCCGCGGUAA